AGCUUUUGUAAUUCGGUUGUACAACUGUAGCCCCUCCUCCAAAAUUGGAAAAGGAGACCCGAGCGUUUAAGGGCAACGGUAAUCUUUCCCUCCUCCCCUCUCUGUUCUCUCUUCGCUCGCUCGCUCGCUUGCUCGAAAUCUCUCCCUCUCCCUGGCCGUGCGAAUCGAUGGGCGGCCACGAGAAUUCGCGGUCCUCAUCCUCCGACCGCCGCCAAUGGCAGCGGAUAUUUGGGACCCUGGUGGAGAUGCUGCAGUCCCGGCAGUCGCAGAUCGAAACCCUAGCUGACGACCGCAAGUUCCUGGAGCGCUACAUCCGCAUACAGAACGACCGCUGGGCCUCCAAGGCCUGCUUCCUCGAAUCCCACAUCGCCCAGAUGAAGGAGGAGGAGAGGAAGGGUCGUCGGGUCCAGGCGGCCAAGUUGGAUCUCAUGGUCGGGAUCAAGGAGAGAGAAGCUUUGUGCUACAAAAUUCAACACGAACUUGCCGAGAGCGAUUCAGAGGACUUCCACGCUUGUGCUGAGACUCUGAGUGCCGAAAUCUCAGAGCUGAAGGAAAAAAUGAAAGGCAGAGAAGUUCAUAAUGGAAGGGCUGGGUUUAGCGAGGCAGACCCUGUAGGAAAUCCCAAGAAAGAUGAUCGUUGCAACACUGCCUUGGAAGAUGAAAUUCGGAAGCUAAAACAUGCUUACAAAAGGCUUAGCUCAGAAAAGGAGUCUGAGGUCUCUGCCUUGUUGGCAGAGAAGGAAUUUGUGUGGAACAAGUUCAAGGAUAUGGAAAAGGACUACACUGAUCUCCUUAAGAGCAAAAGAAUAGAAGUUGAACAGGCUGAGGAAGCCAUGGAGAAGCUUGUCCGUAAUCUAGAGAAGUUGCAGUCAUCAGCCAGUGAGAAGGAUGAGACCAUAUCUGGAUUAGAGGCUGAGCGGGCUAGGCUAGAAUUGGAUCUGAGACGGCAAACACAAGAAGCCAAAGAAGCUAUUGCAAAGCUAGAACAGAUUCAGCUUGAUAUGGAGCAGCUGAGAACUUUGGCCAAGGAGAGGGAUGAAACAAUUGCAAAGUUAAGAAGCGACCUUGCAAAGAUUGAGAUGGAUGCCACAAAAGGCACUAACACGAAAUCUGUAUUCUUUAAGGAUUUGGAUUCUUGGAGGAACUCAAGAAAUGCAUCAGUCACACCCGUAGAGAGUUGUGUAAGGAGUUCUCGGAAACGUAAAUUGGAAAGUGCAAGAGGUGAUGUAAGUCAAAAGCAUAAACGUGCUACUGAAGAUUCUGCUGGAUCACGGAUCUCCAGUACAGUUAACUCUAAAUUUGGAAGCUUGCGGUCCUUUUGUAGCUUGGAGAUUAAUUUGAUAUAAUAUGGUGGUCAGGAAUCUCAAAGUUGGCUUUGGGUUUCACCAUAUUCACCAGGAGCACAAUUUGUAUAAAAGGGAGUUCGGCAAUGUUCAAUAGGGCGACAAACAAGGACAUUUUCACCAGUAGACAGCCCAAGGCUGUUCUCUGCUAAUUUCAAGGUUCCAAAAUUGAAGAGCUUCUCUACUGCAGUUCUGUAAUUUAAUAACAAUACUUUAUGUAUUUUUCUUGUUUUUUAUCUGUAUUUUAUCAAUUCAUUGCAUAGUUUGAUGUUUUAUGACAUUUUUUUGUAAACUACAUAUAUUUAGUGUCUUAAAUAUAUUUGAAGCCUUGUGUCCGGUAGCUA